UGUUUGUUGAUCAAGUGGGAACCCCCUGAUUUGAAGUUGCACUCAGUUCCACCAGUCACACUCAUCUUCCCUGCUUUUGACGGGGAAACAGGCGGCAGUACUGUGCUGUAGGAAGAGAGCAAUGAUAGCAGAAAGAGGAAGCAGCGUGUUUUCAGCAGCUUUGAUUUCAUCGUUUCUCUGUUCAGUUCACCUAAGUAAUGAUGUAUUUCGUGGAGCACUUCUUUCUUGAAAUGGUGGCGACUGGACUUUGACAGGAAAUUUUCUGAGUCACUGCAUCAUGAGGCCUAACCAUUGCUGGACUGCUUUUCAUGUAUCCGUCUUGGCAGUCCUUUCUCUCACCGUGAACGCUGACACACUUGAAGACUCUGAGUGUGCUGCAGUUGAAGUACGACGACACACAGCGUACAACGUCUCUCGUGGACAAGAGCUCAGGAUUAUAUGUCCAUUUACUUUCUGCAACGACACACCACCAAAAGUCUCCUGGAAUAAAAUUGAAGGAAGUCUCCCUUUUAAUCUCAGCAAGAAAGGCCGCAUUAAAACUGAGUGGAAAAUGUUAGAACAGUUUAAAGGGGAAGCAUAUCUGAUUUUUAAGAACAUACUUUAUGAUGAUGCAGGUGUGUAUCGAUGUGAGCUUCCAGGCAAUGUUGGUCAUGGUAUCACCGUCUAUGUUUCUGAUCAAGAUGAAAGUUCCAGUGUUACACAAAUAAGUGACACAACAAAAAAAGAGAGCCCAAAUCCUGAUAAAGUCCAAGAAAAUAUAUUGAUAUACGUGUACUGUGCUGCUGGGAUCACCUCAUUUGUCAUCAUAGUGAUAAUUAUAUCUAUAAUAGCUAUGAAAGGGUGUAAAGGAAAAUCAAAUAAAGAAGCAAAGUCUGAAAAUCAUUACAUGUCAAUGCCCAUGGUUGAGCAACCUGUCAACCUCCGUCUCUCGCCAAGAGCAAGCCCCCAUGUGCCGCCAUCUCGGAGGUCUACCCAGAGGAAGUUGCCAUCAAGGCCGCCUGAUGAGUUGAGAUCAUCAAGAGAAGAUGAGGAGCUUUAUAAUCAGACAGAAGAGGACAGAAAUAGACUAAGACAAGAGGAGGAGAGUGGUUCUGUUGUGUAUGCUGCUCUCAACCAUGAGUUGCCACAGAGGCUACCAGCUCGACGACCGAGGCCAGUGGAGGAGCAAUCAGAGUACGCAGCUAUACGAGUUAAAUAAAAAAUUAAAUCCUGUUGGACUAAAUUACACUAGAGGACCACAUAUGAACAUUUCAAUGUGGUGGAUUUCCUCCAGAUGAACUGUGGGUAAUUUUUUUUUUUUUUUUAAACAGUUUUGUAAACACUGCUCUUUUGCCACAACAUGGAUGUACUCAAAGUAUAUGAUUCAACAUAAGAGGCCCAAACUAGAACUGAUGUGAUCCGUGUGGUUUCUGCUCUGUUUCAGUUUUGAAUGUAAAAGGUUUUACUUCCAAUUUGGGUUUAGUUUCCCAUACUUAGUGCUAUCUUACAAGCAGUAUACCACAGUGGCUUAAUGAAAUUAAGUCAUAGGUAAACAUGUUAGUUCCCAACCCCCACACGCUUUAGGUAUGAAAAAGAGUGAUGUAAAAAUCAAACACAAUCACUAGUUCAUGAUGACUAACAAUGACCACAAUCUGCAUGUUUUACAUUCACUUUUGAAAUUUACUACUUUCCAAACUUAAACUGACACAACACGAUGUGGGCAAUUAAUUAAAGUAAUGAGUAAUAUCUUUAAAAAAAAAAAUCUCUGGCUCUUUUAUGUUUGUGUUAGAGCUGUCAUCGUUUCCAUCACGUGUCUCAGGCAAACUUGUGAAAAAAAUGCACCAAAAGUAGAAUUUUCAUAAUGUGAAAGAUAUUUUCCAAACAUGUGACAUGCUUGAAUGAAUGGGGAGACUGAUCACCUUCAAUGAAGUGAGAACUUUUUUCCACUAUAUUUGUUAACUGAUUAGUUAGAAUAUAUUUAGUUAACUUUUCUCAUUUGAAUCUCUUCCCUUCUUUAGCUCUUUAAGCUCAAGACAAGUAAUGUGCUUCUGUUAGCGCUAACAUGUCACAAGCAUAAACUAAGCCAUAAAAAACCAAACAAAUAUUUACUUUUACAGUAUAAAUCUGCAUUUAAUUAAUAAAUGUAAUUUGAUUUAACUAGAAACAUUGGUACUUUGAAAUUAACUGCAAGAAUUUGUAAAUGAUUAGAGGUUGCUAGCACAGUUAGCUCAGUUAGCUUGCGUGUCAGUUAGCUCAACUUCAAAAACUCACAAAAGCCAUUUCACAUGUUAAAUUAUAAAGCUGCCAAUAUUGUGUUUUUUGUAUUCUUGACAAAUCCCUUGACAGAACAAAGCCCCACAAUGAUUCAAACCUUGAACCUACAAAACCUUUAAAACAUAGUAGUUAUACAAUUUUAGUGACAUGCUCCACCAUAAGAAUAAACAUGUGUGCUGCUGUGUAAUUGUAAUGUUUUGUUGACAUAAAUUCUAACUAUAAUACCAAAUAUGUACUAUUGCUGAAAAUAUUCCAUAAGAAAUGUGCCUUUUUCAUUUCUGUUUGAACUGUUUUGCCAAAAACUACAAGUCCCAGCUGUUCUAGAAAGCUACUAGCCUUUUAGUCAAAUAAAUAAAAUUGUAUUUGUGACAAGUUUAUAAAGAGUCAUAUGUUCUGCCUAAAUGGGUGGACUCAGAGUCAGUGACAGACCAAAACUGUUCUGUAUUUAUAUUUGUAGUUAUGAAAUUUUCAUUCAGCCUUACUUAUCCUCUAAAACAAGGCUGGACAAAGAACUGAAAUCAUCCUACAACUUUCUUACACUGUACAAAUGAGAGGUCAUUACUUAACUAUUUUUUUGUGAAUAGUUUUUGUUGUUGUGAAUGUUUUGUUGCGUUCUACAUAAUGGGCAAAAACUGUGAUGUUGUGCCGUUGCACAUCUGUGACUUGAACUUUUUCUUGAAAAACUUUACAUCUGAUUUCAGUGGUGGUUUAAUGUAUACCUGUAACAGAUCUGCUGUUGACUCAUUUUCCGAUUUUAUGAAUGACUGAUGAAAAAGGAGAAUGUAAUAUUAAUCACUGUGUGCAAUCAAAAUUUAAUGAGCAUCUAUAACUGUUUAAUUAUAAUAAGCUGUCUCUUGUGUUGCUUUCCUGCUAAACAAAAUACUUUAAUGGAAGUAGAAGUGUUAAAAAUUCUCCAGUGUGUUGAAAAUGUAUCUUGUAGUUCAGUGAUUAGUAUGUUGAGUGAGUUAGACCAAACAGGAUGUGUAAUAGCAGUAAAAACCUACCAAAGCCCCCUAUACAGUUAUAAAAAAAAGAAAAAAAAAAAAAAAAAAAAAAAACAGGAAGUAGCCAACCACACUUAGACAUAAAAUGACAUACAGAGCACACACAGGUUGAACAGAGGUGAAUGGUAACUUAUGUACUGAACAUGAAACUUUACAGCUGCCAAGUCUGUUUUCUUGUCCUGAUCUCAGCCGUACUCAUCUGCACUCUGGAUGCCGAUACACUUGAAGACUCUGAGUGUGAUGCAAUUGAAGUACGACGACACACAGCGCACAACGUCUCUCGUGGACAAGAGCUCAGGAUUAAAUGUCCAGUUAUUUUCUGCCACGACACACCACCAAAAGUCUCCUGGAGUAAAAUUGAAGGAACUCUCCCUUUUAAUCUCAGCAAGAAAGGCCGCAUUAAAACAGAGUGGAAAAUGUUAGGACCAUUUAAAGGGGCAGCAUAUCUGAUUUUCAAGAACAUACUUUAUGAUGAUGCAGGUGUGUAUCGAUGUGAGCUUCUAGGCAUUGUUAGUCAUGGUAUCACCGUCUAUGUUUUUGGUGAGUAACUUUUAAAUUACUCAAAAAAGUAACUGCUUUAUUGUUGUUGACUGUGAAAAUUUCUAAGUGCUACUGAGAAAAAAGUCAAUGACUUAGAUCAAUUACUCUCAUUCUCAUUCCAAUGCUUGUAUAAACACUGUAUGCACACUUUCCUUGCAACUUAUUGAUGACAACAAAUUUGCCCAACCGGAAUUUACAGAAUAUUUAUCACCUUAUCAAAGCAAUGGGAAUGUUUAUAGAUGAUAAUGCUUUUCAGGUCACGCUGAGCUGUCCACAGUUACGACUUUGACUUCUCCGAUGUUAGAACAGCAGACAACUCUGACAUCAGGUUUGAAAGAUUAAUUCACUCACACAAAAACAAAAAAAGAAAAGAAAAACCUGUGUCCUUAUGCAGCACUGAUGUGUGCUGCAUCACAACCAAGACAAAAGCAUGGUUAUUUUUUUUUUUUUUACUUUUUCUGUAGUUUGUAAACAAUUAUGUUUUGGCAUUUUCUAGAUUUACUAGAUAAUGGACACUCGGAUCUAAAACUUCAAGAUUGAAAAGCCUUUUCCCAUGAGCAGUCAAAACCAUCAUCUAAAGCAUUAACCUUGUCUUCACCUCGUCUUAUUACGGUGUUUGUGCAAAUCUGUGGAGAAAGUGUGGGUGUAAAUCCAUCUCACCAUGAAAACUUUGAUGGGCUUUGCAUCGCCUACUGACACAAAGCCCAUCUGAGACAAUGAAGGGAGGAGAGUCGUCCACAGAGGAUGUGGUUAAGCUACAAAAACGUUCAAAUUUCCAGCUUAAACACUGAUUUAAACUGACAUGUCUUUCUUUUUCUUUUUCACCUUACAGAAAUCCCAUCAGCUCAGUACACUUUCUGGCAUUAUAUGUACCGUAUUUUUGGAAUCUUGGCAUUUGUCUUUAUAGUGAGCGCUGUCUGUGGUGUUUAUAAGCUCUGGUAUAAAGGAAAAGCAAAGAGCUCAUCACAUCCAAGUCUCCA